AUCCAACUGACGAGUCCCAAAUAGGACGAAGCACGUGUCCUGGAU
rfam:Schistosoma curassoni strain Dakar, Senegal genome assembly, scaffold: SCTD_contig0019130